rnacentral:rRNA from 1 species
UUGGUUAAGUUAGGAAAGGGCGGCACGGCUGGAUGCCUUGGCCCAACUAGGAGCCGGAAGAAGGACGGGACUCACACCGAUUAUGCGUUUUGGGGGAGCUGUACGUAAGCGUUGAUCCAGAGAUUUCCCGAAUGGGGGGAAACCCACUAUCUUUUAGCUCGGAUAAGUAUCCUUACGUGAAUACAUGGCGUGAGGAGGGCAGAGCCCGGGAACUGAAACACUUCUAAGUACCCUGGAGCGACGAGAAAGAAAAAUCGAUUUCCUGCAGUUAGCGGCGAGCAGCGAAACGCGAAAGGGGCCCAAACCAAAGGAAGCCUUGCUUUCUUGCGGGUUGCUAGGGGGACACUCUAUACGGAGUUACAAAAGAAAAGUUAUAAAUGAAAAGCGGUCUGGAAAGGCCCGCGCCAAGACGGCUAAGCAGCCCGGUAAGUUGAAAUAGGCUUUCCCUCCAGAGUGGAUCCUGAGUACGCGCGGAAACACGUGAAUUUCCGUCGGAAUCCGGGAGGAACCAUUCUCCCAAGGACUAAAUACUCCCUAGUGGACCGAUUAGUUGAAAACCAGUACCGUGAGGGGAAAGCGUGGAAAAGCACCCCGGAAGGGGAGUGGAAACAGUUUCCUGAAACCGCGUGCUGGCCUACAAGUUAGUUAGCAGCCCCGUUAAUGGGUUGAUUAAGCGUGCCCUUUUGCUAGACAAUGAACCGGCGGAGUUACGAUUUGUUGCCAAGGUUAAGCGGAAAAAAGCGGAGCCGUUAGCGAAAAGCGAGUCUGAAUAGCCGGCCGCAUAAGUUAAACAGGGUCGUAGACCCGAAAACCAGGUGAUCUACCCAUGGUCCAGGAUGAAGGCGUAAGGUAAUAACUCUACGUGGAGGUUCCGAAACCCACGCACGCUUUGAAAAGUGCCGGGUAUGAGGUGCUGGGUAGCGGCAGAAAUUCCAAUCGAACUUGGAGAUAGCCUGCGUUCUCUCCGAAAUAAGCUUUUAGGGGCUAAGCCCUCGCAGGUAAAGAGUCAUGGAGGGUAGAGCACUGGUUUGCGACUAAGGGGCCUUGCCCUUCUCGGGGUUACCGAAAUUCAGAUAAACUCCGAAUGCCAUGUACUUAUACUCGGGGCAGUCAGACUGCCGAGUGAAUAAGAUCCGUAGUCGAAAGGGAAAACAGCCCCAGGACCACCAGUUUAGGUUCCCAAAUAUAUGUUAAGUGGCAAAAAGGAUGUGGGGUUGCCUUAGACAACCCAGGAUGUUGGCUUAGAAAGCCUGCCACCAUUGAAGCGAGUGCGGUAAUAAGCUCACCUGGUCGAGUGACCCGGCGCCCGAAAAUGUAACCGGGGGCUAAACAUGAUUACCGAAAACUGUGGAUGCAACCUCUUUAGAGGUUCGUGGUAGGGAGAGCGUUCUAAGGGCGGUGAAGUCAGGGGACGGAAGGACUGGUGAGCCCGCUUAGGAAGUGAAGAAUGGCCGGUAUGAGUAGCGAAAAGAAGGGUGAGGAAUCCCUUCCACCGAAUAUUUCUAGGGUUUCCUGAGGCGAGGCUCGUGUCGCUCAGGGGUUAUUCGGGACCUAAGCCGAGGCCGAUAGGGCGUAGGGCGAUGGGACAAAACAGGUAGAAGAUUCCCUGUACCAGCUUGCUAAUUGUUUAACCGGAAUGGGGUUGACACAGGAGGAUAGGGGAUCGCCACGAAUGGGAAAAUGUUCGGGUCCAAGCAGUGAGUGUUGAGAAGUAAAGGGCAAAUUCCGCCCUUCUUCGCGGAAGCCAUGAGCUGUUUGAUGGGGCAGGAAAUUAAGGUUACGGGAAGCUUUCCUGGAUUUCACGCUGUCAAGAAAAGGGGCCUCUUGCGAAGAGUGAGUACUGCCCGUACCGCAAACCGACACCAGGUAGAUGAGGAGCAGAAAUUCCUGAGGUUGGAGCGAGAGGGAACUUCUCGUUAAGCGAAACUCGGCAAAUGACCCCCGUAACUUCUUGGGAGAAGGGGUGCUUCUUAAUUUAGGGUGCAAAAGCCGAGAGGAGCCGCCAGUUGAAUAGGGGCCAGGGCGGACGUUGUUUUAGGCAAAAAAACCAACAGGGUUCUCUGCCAAAAACCGUUAAGGUUGGGACGUAUAGGGGCUGACGCCUGGCCGGUGCUGGGAAGGUUUAAGAGGAACGUGCUUUAGCUUUUCGGCGAAUGUACGAAUUGAAGGCCCAGCUAAACGGCGGGCCGUAACUAUAAUGCGUUCCUUAAGAGGUAGCGAAACUUCCUUGUCGGGUAGGUUCCGACCCGCCCACGAAAGGCGGCCACUGAUCUGGGCACUUGUCUCAACGAGAGACUCGGUGAUAAUUAUUUAGUACCUGUUGAAGAUGGCAGGUACCGGCGACGGGCAGGACGGAAAGACCCGGUGGAGCUUUACUGCAACCUGAUAUGGAAUGUUUGUCCCGCUUGUACAGGAUAGGUAGGAGCCGAAGAGACGUGUGCGCUAGCAUACGAGGAGGCAAUGGUGGGAUACUACCCUGGCUGUAUGACCAUUCUAACCCGCCACGCUUAGCGCGUGGGGAGACAGUGUCAGGUGGGCAGUUUGACUGGGGCGGUCGCCUCCUAAAGAGUAACGGAGGCGCCCAAAGGUUCCCUCAGAAUGGAUGGAAAUCAUUCGCAGAGUGUAAAGGCACAAGGGAGCUUGACUGCGAGACUGACAAGUCGAGCAGGGACGAAAGUCGGGCUUAGUGAUCCGGUGGUUCCGCAUGGAAGGGCCAUCGCUCAACGGAUAAAAGCUACCCCGGGGAUAACAGGCUUAUCUCCCCCAAGAGUCCACAUCGACGGGGAGGUUUGGCACCUCGAUGUCGGCUCGUCGCAUCCUGGGGCUGUAGUCGGUCCCAAGGGUUGGGCUGUUCGCCCAUUAAAGCGGCACGCGAGCUGGGUUCAGAACGUCGUGAGACAGUUCGGUCCCUAUCCGUCGCGGGCGCAGGAAAUUUGAGAGGAGCUGUCCUUAGUACGAGAGGACCGGGAUGGACACACCGCUGGUGUACCAGUUGUUCCGCCAGGAGCAUCGCUGGGUAGCUAUGUGUGGCAGGGAUAAACGCUGAAAGCAUCUAAGCGUGAAGCCCCCCUCAAGAUGAGAUUUCCCAUUUCUUCGGAAAGUAAGAUCCCUGAAAGAUGAUCAGGUAGAUAGGUUUGGAGUGGAAGUGUAGCGAUACAUGGAGCGGACAAAUACUAAUCGAUCGAGGACUUAACCAAAA